rnacentral:rRNA from 1 species
CAGUAGCCGCGGUAAUACAGAGGGUGCGAGCGUUAAUCGGAAUUACUGGGCGUAAAGCGCGCGUAGGCGGUUACUCAAGUCAGAGGUGAAAGCCCGGGGCUCAACCCCGGAACUGCCUUUGAAACUAGGUGACUAGAAUCUUGGAGAGGUCAGUGGAAUUCCGAGUGUAGAGGUGAAAUUCGUAGAUAUUCGGAAGAACACCAGUGGCGAAGGCGACUGACUGGACAAGUAUUGACGCUGAGGUGCGAAAGCGUGGGGAGCAAACAGGAUUAGAUACCCCCGUAGUCCCUGUCUCUUAUAC